rnacentral:rRNA from 1 species
GACGAACGCUGGCGGCGUGCUUAACACAUACAAGUCGAACGGGCCCGCCCCUGUUUUUGGGGGUGGGUUGAGUGGCGAACGGGUGAGUAUCACGUGAGUAACCUGCCCCCUGCUCCUGGAUAACUGCUUGAAAGGGCGGCUAAUACGGGGUGUGCCGGCUGGUCCGCAUGGGCCUGGUCGGGAUAGUUUCAUCUUCGGGUGUUUCGGUGGGGGAUGGGCUCGCGGCCUAUCAGCUUGUUGGUGGGGUGAUGGCCCACCAAGGCGGUGACGGGUAGCCGGCCUGAGAGGGUGGGCGGCCACACUGGGACUGAGACACGGCCCAGACUCCUGCGGGAGGCAGCAGUGGGGGGUAUUGCACAAUGGGCGGAAGCCUGAUGCAGCGACGUCGCGUGAGGGAUGGAGGCCUUCGGGUUGUGAACCUCUUUCUCCGGUGGUGAAGGCCCUGUCCGUUGCGGCGGGGUUGACGGUAGCCGGGUAUGAAGCGCCGGCUAACUACGUG